UUUCUGUCAGCAAACGAAAUUCUUCGGCUAAAGGAGACGAGCAACUUACAAACAAAAAUAAAAUAAAAAUAAAGUAGAUAGAACUGGGGCUAGAAAAAAAAUUGGGAAAUGAAAAGAUGAAUACACAUUCCGUUUCACAUAUCAUAUGUGUAAUUCGGAAUAGGACGCAUUUUUUUUAAAUAAAAAAAAAUAUAAUAAGAUGUUCAAAUGUUGGAACAGAAUCCAUUUAUUAAAUCAAAUUUACAAGAUAAAAUUUUGAAAGCGUUAUGCUCAGCUCUGUUCGUGUAACGCACUGUAGGAACUGAAUAAUUCAUUUAAGGAUGUAAUCCCCUCUAAUGAUAACUGGAUCAGUGUCGCGAAAGUUAAGACAACCCCUACAUUUUCUACCAUCAUUUGAUCUUCUUCAGACUAGCGAAUGCAAGUGUCGAGAUACCGGCAAGCACUUAAAGGGAUUCAAGUGCAAUACUGACAUCCUAAGACAAGCACAAGCUGCGCCGUGAAGAAGGCAAGAGAAGCAAAAAAACGUAGAGGAAGUCCGGCCAGAUUCGUUCCUGGAACUGUUGCGGCGUCGGUUGUGGAAAUCCUGUCACUGCCAUAAGGACUGGCCUAGGCCAGAUUCGUUCCUGGAACUGUUGCGGCGU